GUGCAAAGUGCAUUGAUGGGCCUUCGGAGGAGGACAAACUAUUGAUUCGGAAGCAGCAUUCCUAUUUAUUGUGACACCAUAUGCUGUAUGCCAGAUUUUUAGACCACCGUCGAUCCUGUUACACAAUCCACGAAGAAGUGAAAAGGUUACAGGUCACUUUGAUACACGUGGGCGGAAGCUUGACCAGGAAGCGGAUGUCCAUCUGUAUAUAUAUGCACGGCGAUGACCACCACUGACCAGUACCUGGCGCAUCUCGCUCAUUCCACUCAGAAUUCAUUUGGAAGAUUCAGGUAAAUCAACAUGAUGAAGAUGCUCCUCGUCGUCGUUGGCUGCAUCGUCUCUGCCGCCGCAACACCUACAUACGGGCACUACGGCAUGUACGGACUUGGGGGAAUGGGUUAUGGAAUGGGGGGAUUUGGAUACCCAGGAUAUGGCUUCGGUGGUCAAAUUGGCAUGGGCAUUGGUUACGGAGGACUUGGAGGACUUGGUUACGGAGGACUUGGAGGACUUGGUUACGGAGGCAUGGGAGGACUUGGUUACGGAGGCAUGGGAGGACUUGGUUACGGAGGCAUGGGAGGACUUGGUUACGGAGGCAUGGGAGGACUUGGUUACGGAGGCAUGGGAGGACUUGGUUUCGGAGGCAUGGGAGGACUUGGUUUCGGAGGCAUGGGAGGACUUGGUUUCGGAGCAAUGGGAGGACUUGGUAUGUAUG